GCUUAUUUACUCUUAAGCCCAUUCAUCUAAAUACCCGGUUUUCAUGUAGGAUCUUACCAAUUUGAUUGGAGGAGAAAAAAUAACAUAAGAAUAGGUGCACAGUUAGAGUGUUAAUCACAUGAAUAACCUUGACAUCCACAGAAAUUACAACUUUUCAUUGCAUACAGAGAGUAUAAUCAGAUUAUAUAACCAGAAGAUGAUGUCUUUGGAUAUAAUCAUACCUAUGCUUGAUGCC
rnacentral:lncRNA from 1 species